UACGGAGGGGACUAGCGUUGUUCGGAUUUACUGGGCGUAAAGGGGUGCGUAGGCGGCCUAGUAAGUUAGAAGUGAAAGCCUGGGGCUCAACCCCAGAACUGCUUCUAAAAACUAUUAGGCUAGAGUAUGGGAGAGGAUAGUGGAAUUCCUAGUGUAGAGGUGAAAUUCUUAGAUAUAAGAAGGAACACCAGUGGCGAAGGCGGCACUCUGGACCAAUACUGACACUGAGGUGCGAAAGCGUGGGGAGCAAACAGGAUUAGAUACCCCCGUAGUCC
rnacentral:rRNA from 1 species